rnacentral:rRNA from 1 species
UGACGCAGCGACGCCGCGUGCGGAGAAGGCCUAGGGUUGUAAACCGCUUUCAGGAGGGACGAAGCCACUCGGGUGAAUAGCCCAGAGGGUGACGGUACCUCCAGAAGAAGCCCCGGCUAACUACGUGCCAGCAGCCGCGGUAAUACGUAGGGGGCAAGCGUUGUCCGGAUUCAUUGGGCGUAAAGAGCGUGUAGGCGGCCAGGUAGGUCGGUUGUGAAAACUGGAGGCUCAACCUUCAGACGUCGACCGAAACCAUCUGGCUAGAGUCCGGGAGAGGAGAGUGGAAUUCCUGGUGUAGCGGCGAAAUGCGCAGAUAUCAGGAAGAACACCCGUGGCGAAAGCGGCUCUCUGGAACGGUACUGACGCUGAGACGCGAAAGCGUGGGGAGCGAACAGGAUUAGAUACCCUGGUAGUCCACGCCGUAAACGAUGGGCGCUAGGUGUGGGAGGUGUCGACUCCUUCCGUGCCGCAGCUAACGCAUUAAGCGCCCCGCCUGGGGAGUACGGCCGCAAGGCUA